rnacentral:rRNA from 1 species
GUUUAAGCAUAUCACUAAGCGGAGGAAAAGAAACUAACGAGGAUUUCCUUAGUAACGGCGAGCGAACCGGAAGU